GAUGAAGAACGUAGCGAAAUGCGAUAAGUAAUGUGAAUUGCAGAAUUCAGUGAAUCAUCGAAUCUUUGAACGCACAUUGCGCCCGCCAGUAUUCUGGCGGGCAUGCCUGUUCGAGCGUCAUUUCAACCAUCAAGCCCUGCUUGCGUUGGGGUCCUGCGGCUGCCCGCAGGCCCUGAAAACCAGUGGCGGGCUCGCUAGUCACACCGAGCGCAGUAAUACAUCUCGCUUUGGGCGUGCGGCGGGUUCUUGCCGUUAAACACCCCCUUUUUACCAAGGUUGACCUCGGAUUAGGUAGGGAUACCCGCUGAACUUAAGCAUAUCAAUAAGCGGAGGA
rnacentral:misc_RNA from 1 species